UAGGCUUUGUGUUAGUAAAAACAGAUGUUCAUAAAUCAUUCUUAUCUUUAAACUAAAAAUGUAUUUUGAUAUGCAAAAUGUCUGUAUGAUUUCAGUUGCCAGAGGUGAGUACCAUAACAGUUGAAAAGUUAGUUUUGUUUAGUUAAAGUUUUGGUUCACAGUUUUGUUUGUUAUUUGGCAAAAUUUACAUGUAUGCAUUGAGUCUUGAUUUCAGCUCGAUUGUGGACUGAAGAAGAUUGCCAGCAGAGGGAUUGGAUACAAAAUACAAACUUUACUGCUGGACGAGUGUUCUCAACUACUAGACGAGUCAGGUUUACUACCAGGCGAGCAGUGACAACAAGGCGCCUUUGUGGAAACAACACAACAAAAAACUCUACUGCAAGACGAGCAGUGACAGCAAGGCGCCUGAACAUGCAACACAAUACAAAAAAUGCCAAUUUGCAAACCUUGAUGUGGACACCGAGUAGUCAAUACAUACGUGUGGCGUAUAGCUGCGACAAAACCGUGGGUCCAUCGCACCGAUAACUUGAACAUUGGCCCGUGUAUGGACAUCAGUGCAACUUUGUGAAUCCAUGUAACUUUGUGAAUCCAUGUAACAUUGCGAAUGUGUGUCGAUCGAAAAAUGUGUACAUUCUGCACUGAAACGAACUCGGUGUUGCAAGUGGCAAGUGUUGACAGUGUGUAUGUUUAUGUUUAUGUUUUUACAUGAAAAAUAAAGGAGAUUGUUCUCCUACCUUUUUUUUCCUUGUUUUAUUGUGCUGGCCAGCAAUAUUGAUGUAUUGAUGUAUGUGUUUGUGUUUAAACUAUGCAAUACCAAAAUCAAACAAAAAAUAAACAUUAACAGUCAUUAACUGUGUUUGGGCGGCCGAGGGGUUUAAGACUCCACAAGUGUGAAGCGCACUGAUAGCACUUGGGGGUAAACACCUCGGUAUUUCGGUGCUAAAAUGUUUUCACGGUGCUUAUUUUGACGCACUGUUAGAACUACCAACCAGUAAAUGAUUGCUUGAUUUAUAAAACAAAUAUUCAGUCUCUACUUUGGCACAAGAGACUCUAAGUAUCAAAUACCAACAAUUUAGACGCAGACAAUCACAUGGUGGUACACCAGUCCGAAUAUACUCAUUGCUCUAGCCAGGAUUGCAAAUUACUUGUGUUGACUAGCAAGGCUCCCUAGUAACGGAGCAGUGUUACUGGCGUUUUUUGGGUCGAUAGUGCUUAGGUGAGGUUUUGCUCGAAUCGGGAGCGGGUCACUCGCUUUGGCGAGUUAGUUUUCGCUCGUAGUUUCCAAUCUGGCUAGAUCAAUGUAAGGUUGUCGUUGACUGCUAUUUGGCAAGCAGAAAGACAACAGCGGUUAAUUAACUGAGUAUGGGCGACCGAGGUAUGUAGGUGUCAAUAGACCGACUCCACAAGUUGCGAAGCGAACCGAUAGCACUUGAGGGGAAACGCCUCGGUUUUCG